rnacentral:tRNA from 1 species
GCGGGAGUAGCUCAGAGGAAGAGCGUCUCCUUGCCAAGGAGAAGGCCGCGGGUUCAAGUCCCGUCUCCCGCUCCA